GUCAGUGUGAUAAGCUUAUGUUUUUGCGCUGUGACUGUGAAGUGUAUUUGACCAAGCUUCUAACAAAAUGAUAUAUGGGAUUUUUGGGCUUCUGACCUCAAAUCAGGUAGGAGUACCCGCUGAACUUAAGCAUAUCAAUAAGCGGAGGAAAAGAAACUAACAAGGAUUCCCCUAGUAACUGCGAGUGAAGCGGGAAAAGCUCAAAUUUAAAAUCUGGCAGUCUUUGGCUGUCCGAGUUGUAGUCUGGAGAAGUGCUUUCUGUGCUGGACCAUGUACAAGUCUCUUGGAACAGAGCGUCAUAGAGGGUGAGAAUCCCGUCUUUGACAUGGACUACCAGUGCUUUAUGAUGCGCUCUCAAAGAGUCGAGUUGUUUGGGAAUGCAGCUCAAAAUGGGUGGUGAAUUCCAUCUAAAGCUAAAUACAGGCGAGAGACCGAUAGCGAACAAGUACCGUGAGGGAAAGAUGAAAAGCACUUUGGAAAGAGAGUUAAACAGUACGUGAAAUUGCUGAAAGGGAAACGCUUGAAGUCAGUCGCGUUGUUUAGAACUCAGCCUUGCUUUUGCUUGGUGCAUUUUCUAUUCAACGGGUCAACAUCAAUUUUGACUAUCAGAAAAGGGCGAGGGUAAUGUGGCACCUCCGGGUGUGUUAUAGACCGCAGUCAAAUGUGAUAGUUGGGAUUGAGGAAUGCAGCACGCCCGCAAGGGUAGGGGGUUUAUCCUACUUUCGUGCUUAGGAUGUUGACAUAAUGGCUUUAAACGACCCGC
rnacentral:rRNA from 1 species